GACAAUUGACCAUACAUUCCUCUUCAUGUUUUUAUUGUUUUUAUAAACAGUUUCCAGAAAUUUGAAUGGCUUUGUAGUCUUGAAUUCUUGCAUUUAAGAGGUAUUCUACUUGUGUUUGUGAAUAAGUCAAAGGAAACAUUAAACAAAACCGUCGUUGGUAAGGUCACGUUGACGAUUGUUUUUGUGAAAUAAAAAUUGUUGAAGAAUUGAGGAAACAAGCCAAGAAAAAUUCAUGAUUAAGAAUUGUCCUCUACUGAUAUAAAAUCACCUUUAUCAUAUACUAUCUUGAAAAAAGAUAAUCAUCCCAUCAAUACGAUAAAAUUGAUUUGUUAACCUUAGAACAAAGUUUUGCAAAUAGCAUGACACAUACAUACCAUAAAAAGUACGUUGAUACCAAAUAAAGGCAAACAAAAUAAUGUUAUGAUCUUUUUGUGUAAGGUUGAGUAAUUGUCGUUGCUGAUAAUCUAUUAAAUUAAUGAUUCUAUGU
rnacentral:misc_RNA from 1 species